UACGUAGGUGACCAGCGUUGUCCGGAUUUACUGGGCGUAAAGAGCGCGCAGGCGGUCGUUCAAGUCGAGUGUGAAAGCCCCCGGCUCAACUGGGGAGGGUCACUUGAUACUGAUCGACUCGAAGGCAGGAGAGGGAAGCGGAAUUCCCGGUGUAGCGGUGAAAUGCGCAGAUAUCAGGAGGAACACCAAUUGCGAAGGCAGCUCGCUGGGACGUUACUGACGCUGAGACGCGAAAGCGUGGGGAGCAAACAGG
rnacentral:rRNA from 1 species